AUGCUGGGUUAUGUCACCUUUGUCCUCGCUGCCCUGCUCCCUGCUGGCCAGACAGCGCUCAUCAUAGACCAGCCAAUGGUCUCCCACACCAAACGGGCUGGGUCAUCGGCAUCAUUUCUCUGCAAGCCUUCUGGCCAAAGCAUCACCUACAUCCACUGGUACCGCCAACAGCCCAGGAAGUCUCCCCAGCGCCUGCUCUACUGUAGCGUGGCCACAUCUCAAUCCAGGCUGGAUGCAGGAUUCAGCUCCGAUAAAUAUUCUACUUACCAGAGCACAGAUCAUAGCUGUACCCUGAAAGUACGGAAACUGAGCACGAGUGAUACCGGCACCUAUUACUGUGCCAGCUGGGACUCCACGGUGACAGAGUUCCCUCCGUGCCUCAUACAAAAAACCACCACCUGUGGUCACCAGGAGACAUGGUCACAGGAGACAAUCAAUCCUUUAUUCCAGAGUAUCAACAGAACACCUAUGGUGCACAAGACACUGCACUAA